UUGGAGGGCAAGUCUGGUGCCAGCAGCCGCGGUAAUUCCAGCUCCAAUAGCGUAUAUUAAAGUUGUUGCAGUUAAAAAGCUCGUAGUUGAAUUUCGGGAUUAGUACGUUGGUCGUGCCUUCGGUACGUACUGGUGUUACUGAUUCCUACCUUCUGACGAACCAUCAUGUCAUUAAUUUGGUGUGGCGGGGAAUCAGGACUGUUACUUUGAAAAAAUUAGAGUGUUUAAAGCAGGCUCGCGCUUGAAUACAUUAGCAUGGAAUAAUGAAAUAGGACGUUGAUCCUAUUUUGUUGGUUUCUAGGAUUGACGUAAUGAUUAAUAGGGAUAGUUGGGGGCAUUAGUAUUCAAUUGUCAGAGGUGAAAUUCUUGGAUUUAUUGAAGACUAACUACUGCGAAAGCAUUUGCCAAGGAUGUUUUCAUUAAUCAAGAACGAAAGUUAGGGGAUCGAAGACGAUCAGAUACCGUCGUAGUCUUAACCAUAAACUAUGCCGACUAGGGAUCGGAUGAUGUUAUUUUUAAUGACUCAUUCGGCGCCUUACGGGAAAC
rnacentral:rRNA from 1 species